rnacentral:tRNA from 1 species
AGUGCGGCUAGGAUCUUUUACACAUUUAGAUGAAGCGAGUUCCGGGUUCGAAUCCCGGGCAACCCAU